UUAGCUCACGUUAUCGUAAUAUUACUUGACCUGCAUUAUACGAUAUGUUUUAAAUGAUUAGGUGCUCACAAAAGCAUUAAAAUACAAACCAGGAAGUUUAGAGAACAAGGAAAAUAAUAAACCAAAGAAAAUUUAAAGUUCAUUCAUUUCUUUCUUGCACAUGGAAUAGCCUGAUGCAUUGUUCUAGAAUGCCAUAUGUCAGUCAGUCCAGCGUUUCUGCAGAUGUCGCCCAUGAAGCUGGAAAACAGCCUCUGACCAAUAGGUUUGCACAUGUACCAGAUCUGGACUGCAUCAAGAGCCACCCGCGCAAGCCUGCUUAUAGUGCUGAACAACUUUUCUGCAUGUGAAUCAUACUUGGAAAGGUUGUUGAAGCGAUGGGAACUUUGUCUGCGUGAGUUGUAAGUAAUUGUCUAAUCUACUUAGCACUCUUUUUUCGAAGAGUUUGUUGAAGCACGGCAUAAGGAAUACAGGUAUG